GCUAAGGGACCUGACUUCCUUGGUUCCUUCAGCUGUGGCCCAGAUCUGGGGACAGGGAGCUCUUGUCCUGAGGAGACCUCAACGCGGGGGAGUCUCUGAGUCCAGAGAGGCAGCCUGGGGUAAAGAAUUGAAAGUUAUAGCCUUGGAGGAAGGACAACCGCAGGUUCAGGUCUUGUAUCGGAUAUUUAUUGGUUAUAGGACUCAGAGAAAACUGCUUAACCUCUCAGUGCCCCAGGUCAUGCCUUGAGGUUUUUUGAUGCACGGGCAAUGCUGGUCUAAUUAAUGGAAGGAGUUCCCUCGUGGAGGAUUCUCUCUACAUUGAUGAAAUCCCAGUUGAGGAUACUGGGACCCAGACAAGUGAAAUAACUCCUUCAAGGUCAUAAAGGCUUCUCUCUCUUGUGUUUGAUUGCUGGUCACGAAGAGGGCACUUCCCCAUGUGGGGCACGACUCCGGAUCAAAACCUAGUUUGAACAUGUCCAGACACACCUGAGUUUAUUUCCUUAAGUCAACUCCUCUAUUUGCUGCCAUGCAGAAGGGAAUGAAGCAGCCAUAUUGGAUGGAAUGAUGGCUUAUCUGCUAAUCAUGGCUUUAUGGUGUAGUUCAAUCCAGCGGGCAGAAUCCUGCCCAUCUGUGGGCCCACCCACCUAUAGAGAAUGACAGAAGAUUCCAAUAUUAUUAUUAUUAUUAUUUUUUUGACACAGACCUAUGAUUUCAUUUUUGU